ACCAACCUAACAAUAGUCCGGGAACCGCACUUGUAAUGCGGGGGUUAGGGGUUCAAAUCCCCUCGGCGGCUCCA
rnacentral:tRNA from 1 species